UGUGCUGGCCAAGAAACUUUAAUGCUGCCGGCAUGGAAGGAAGGGUUGGUGGAGCUGAGCUCAAGGUAACCUUCAUGAGGGUCUCUGCUUGCUCCUGCCUCCCCCGGGCUCAAUUUUCAACUUUAGAGGGAAAUAUCCCAUCUCACUUUUGGCUGCUGGGAGGCAGCUCAGGGCCAGCCUCGGUCCUCCGGAUGUGCUCAGGGAUGAAGGAUUCUCUGAGAGCGAGAAGGGUGAUGCUAGACCCACGGAUGAAGGAUGCUCUGUGGGAUGCUGGACACCCCCACGCACCCUUCCAAGGAGGCUUGGCCGUGGUGUGAAGGCUUCCCUGAGUCCUAACGAUCGGGUUUGGCCAGAGAGUCACUGAAUGGGGCUAGGAUGGCAAAAGAAAUUAGUCAUUAACAUCUAUAGUUGUUAUUUGUGUGGAUAGAUAGAUACAUAUAAAUAAAGACAUCAGUAAAUAAA